rnacentral:rRNA from 1 species
CGCCUUUUGAUUUAUUAACAUAAAAGGUCCUGCCUGCCCAGUGACACCUGUUUAACGGCCGCGGUAUUAUGACCGUGCAAAGGUAGCGUAAUCACUUGUCCUUUAAAUAAAGACCAGUAUGAAUGGCAAGACGAAAGCCUAACUGUCUCUCCAUAUUAGUCAAUGAAAUUGAUUUUUCCGUGCAGAAGCGGAAAUAUUAUUAUAAGACGAGAAGACCCUGUGGAGCUUCAAGUCAAAGCUAGCUAUUUAAUAUAGUUGUAGCCAAAGACUUUAGGUUGGGGCGACCACGAGGUAUAAUAAAACCCUCGAGAUAAAAUCAUAGAAGGACACUUCAAAUAAACAAAAUAUUGAUAUAUUGACCCAAAAAUUGAUCAACGAACCAAGUUACCCCAGGGAUAACAGCGCAAUCCACUCAAAGAGUCCUUAUCGACGAGUGGGUUUACGACCUCGAUGUUGGAUCAGGACCCCCAAAUAAUGUAACAAUUAUUAAAGGUUCGUUUGUUCAACGAUUAAAGUCCU